rnacentral:rRNA from 1 species
ACGCUAAUACCGGAUAGGGCACCUUCUCGCAUGAGAGGGUGCGGAAAGGUGGCGCAAGCUACCACUUGCGGAUGGGCCUGCGGCGCAUUAGCUAGUUGGUGGGGUAACGGCCUACCAAGGCGACGAUGCGUAGCCGACCUGAGAGGGUGACCGGCCACACUGGGACUGACACACCGCCCAGACUCCUACGGGAGGCAGCAGUAGGGAAUUUUCCACAAUGGGCGAAAGCCUGAUGGAGCAACGCCGCGUGAACGAUGAAGGUCUUCGGAUUGUAAAGUUCUGUUGUCAGGGACGAACAAGUACCGUUCGAACAGGGCGGUACCUUGACGGUACCUGACGAGAAAGCCCCGGCUAACUACGUGCCAGCAGCCGCGGUAAUACGUAGGGGGCAAGCGUUGUCCGGAAUUAUUGGGCGUAAAGCGCGCGCAGGCGGUCGGUAAGUCUGAUGCAAACCCCGGGGCUCACCCCGGUCGCAUUGGAAACUGCUCGACUUGAGUGCAGAAGAGGAAAGCGGAAUUCCACGUGUAGC